UGGGGAAUAUUGGGCAAUGGGCGAAAGCCUGACCCAGCGACGCCGCGUGGGCGAUGAAGGCCUUCGGGUUGUAAAGCCCUUUCGUGUGGAAAGAACAGCCUCACGACUAAUACUCGUGAGGUUUGACGGUACCACAGGAAGAAGCACCGGCUAACUCCGUGCCAGCAGCCGCGGUAAUACGGAGGGGGCAAGCGUUGUUCGGAAUUAUUGGGCGUAAAGGGCGCGUAGGCGGUUGUGUUAGUCAGAUGUGAAAUCCUUCGGCUUAACUGAAGAACUGCAUUUGAUACUGCGCAACUAGAGUACAGGAGAGGGAAACGGAAUUCCCGGUGUAGAGGUGAAAUUCGUAGAUAUCGGGAGGAACACCAGUGGCGAAGGCGGUUUCCUGGCCUGAUACUGACGCUGAGGCGCGAAAGCGUGGGGAGCAAACA
rnacentral:rRNA from 1 species